rnacentral:ncRNA from 1 species
AAUAAUUGAGGGUAGAAAGGUUCCUACCGCACCUGAAAAGGUAUCUGAGAUGCUGGAUACACCGACCAGCCAAUUAUU